GGUAGAGGGAGCUGGCGCCUGGGAACGAGGCUUGUGACGUGGGCCGAGGGGCGUGUCCUGAGGCCGGGGAAAGACUGCAGAGGGGAGGUGGCGCCUGUGAAGCAGAAAAUGGCGCCUGCGAAUGAGCAAAGUUUGUGACGCGGCGAGGUUUUUGCCUCUGGCCGAGGCCUUCUUCCCGGGACGGGAGAAAGUGCAGGGAAUACAUACCGAAAUUUUUACGGAUAAAGAACCAUCGUGUAAGCCGCUUACUCGCAAAUGGUUGGAAAAAAUAGCGUAUAUAAAGAUGUAUUUAAAGAAACAAUGAUCGGGCGAAUGGCAAAAAUGUUAAAAAUUUGGGGAAUCUGGAUGAAGGGUAUACGGGAAUUCUUUAUAUUAUUUUUGCAAUUUUUCUGAGUUUAUUUCAGAGUAAAAAAAAUUAAAGAAUAAUAAAACAAAAAUUUGU